AACACCCUCCCCAGAACCCUUCUCCAACUCUUCCACCUGAGCUAUAUCAGCACCUUCUUCCACCUCCAACGCAUGGACCUCUUCUUCCCUCUCAACAUAGAUGACACCAUUCAGCACAGGUGUCCCCGAUGCCCCCUCCCAGGUUCCCUCCUCCAUCACUUCUGUGGCAGUCCCUACAGAUUGCAGGUUCUCUGUACAUACAGAUUGCAGCAGGCAUGCCCUUCAAGGGUGAGUUGGCCAACUGCUCGGCCCCUGCCUUUUCUUAUCCCUGGCUGGAGCUCACGUCCACAGAGGAAGAAAACGAUCUGCACCUACGAACAAGACGAGACGAGAACCAUUUGUGGACGCUGAAGAUCAGAAGAUGAUGACUAAAAGCACAUGGUGUGAGGAUUGAGGAAGUGCUUAAGGCAAGUAUAACUUGGGAUUAUCCUUGUUACGUAUACACUUUUAAUACAUAUAUCAUAUGCAUGUGUCCACCUUGAUAACCUUAUCGAAAUCAUAGAUGAUUGUUAUCUUGAAUUCCUUGAUACCUAUUAGAUAUGCAUUUGGGUAGUUCUUGCUAGUGCUUGACUUAAUCCAUGAUCUUGUAAGAUGAUUAAUGACUAUGCAAUUAACGUUAAAAGACGGCUACUAUAUGAGAUCUUGUUUGUACGUGAUCACCCUGGAUUAACAGUACAACCAUGAGGGCUAUAUUGCUUUGGCUUUAGCUCAGUAUGAAGAUCUUUUCUAGCUUGUUAGUAGUUACCCAUAAGGGCACUAGAGGGGCUUGCCGACUCGGGUAUAGUGCGGCCUCUGUCCUUAUGUGUAUAGGCUGCGUGUCAUUGUGCCAUUCAGAAGGGGGGCUCUACAUCUGCUCGCCAAUUGGAGACCUUGUGGCCCUAACUUGUUAGACGAACUUUUGAAAGGCUUCAUAGUGAACCCUACUGACCUUCCUUGGUAGUCAGCCGGUCCCUGGGUAUGGUGGUGCCUACUGAACCCGCGAUUUGGUCCUAAAUAGUGCAUCUGGUGACCUAUAGCUCACUUUGGCUGGUAAGUGUGGUUUGUGUGGGGAAUAAAUCACCAGCUGGUUAGAAAUCGAUUCGAAUCGCCAUCGCUUCUGGAUAGUGAGCACUUGACUUGAGCUUCGUCAUCGUAGUAAUGUUAUGGAACACUAGAUGGUUAUGGUAUGUUGAUGAAGCUGGAAAUGCUACAUUAAAUUGGUACUACAUCUGUAUUGGAUAAAGUGAUUGUUAUAGCACAGGUGCGAAACUAGAUGAUAGGUUAAUGAUUACUAACUUGAUCUAAAUAAAAGAAAGGUUACUCACUUUGUAGCUUAAGCUCUUUUAUGCAAAAAGUGUUGUCAAGCUAGCCCACUAUAAAGCCUUACAUGAUCCUUGGAGUCAACUAUUUCUGGUUUAUGACGGGUAAGUCUAGCUGAGUACAUUCUCGUACUCAGGGUUAUGUUCCCAUGUUGUUUAAUUUGCAGAUGGACAUAUGUAUUAUGGGUACUGCAUUAAUUGUCUCUAUACAGCUAUGGGAGAUGCAUAGACCAAGGGCGUGGUCACUCUGACUUAUCUUUUACUGUUGUGGGAUUGAUCAGACUCUGGCACUGUAAUCAAACUAAGCAUGUGUGUUUCAGAAACUAUUUGCUUCCGCUACUACUUAAAAAAUAUGGUUUGUAAUAACUUUAUUUGAACUCCAAUGUAAAUGACUUAUUUGUGAA